rnacentral:snoRNA from 1 species
AAACCAUGCAUAGGAUAUUUUCUAAGUAAUUCCUUAAAUCUUUCCUAGGCUUCGUAAAGCCCUCUGAUUGUUGAAAAGAUGUGAUAUCAUUUCUAAGCUU